rnacentral:rRNA from 1 species
AGAGUUUGAUCAUGGCUCAGAACGUACGCUGGCGGCACGCCUAAUACAUGCAAGUCGAACGAAGUAGCAAUACUUAGUGGCAGACGGGUGAGUAACAUGUGGGUAUCUUCCCUUUGGUGAGGAAUAACACGAGGAAACUUGUGCUAAUACCUCAUAAGUCUUUACGGAGAAAGCUUUAUGCGCCAAUGGAUGAGCCCGCACUUGAUUAGUUUGUUGGUGAGGUAAUGGCUCACCAAGACUUUGAUCAAUAGCUGAUUUGAGAGGAUGAUCAGCCACAUUGGGACUGAGACACGGCCCAAACUCCUACGGGAGGCAGCAGUAGGGAAUCUUGCACAAUGGGGGAAACCCUGAUGCAGCGAUGCCGCGUGAGUGAAGAAGGCCUUUGGGUUGUAAAGCUCUUUCGUCGGGGAAGAAAAUGACUGUACCCGAAUAAGAAGGUCCGGCUAACUUCGUGCCAGCAGCCGCGGUAAUACGAAGGGACCUAGCGUAGUUCGGAAUUACUGGGCUUAAAGAGUUCGUAGGUUGUUAAAAAAGUUGGUGGUGAAAUCCCAGAGCUUAACUCUGGAACUGCCAUCAAAACUUUUUAGCUAGAGUUUGAUAGAGGAAAGCAGAAUUUCUAGUGUAGAGGUGAAAUUCGUAGAUAUUAGAAAGAAUACCAAUUGCGAAGGCAGCUUUCUGGAUCAUUACUGACACUGAGGAACGAAAGCAUGGGUAGCGAAGAGGAUUAGAUACCCUCGUAGUCCAUGCCGUAAACGAUGUGUGUUAGACGUUGGAAAUUUAUUUUCAGUGUCACAGCGAAAGCAAUAAACACACCGCCUGGGGAGUACGACCGCAAGGUUAAAACUCAAAUGAAUUGACGGGGACCCGCACAAGUAGUGGAGCAUGUGGUUUAAUUCGAAGAUACGCGCAGAACCUUACCAACACUUGACAUGUUCGUCGCGACUUUAAGAGAUUAAAGUUUUCGGUUCGGCCGGACGAAACACAGGUGCUGCAUGGCUGUCGUCAGCUCGUGUCGUGAGAUGUUGGGUUAAGUCCCGCAACGAGCGCAACCCUCACUUUUAGUUGCCAUCAUUUAGUUGGGCACUCUGAAAGAACUGCCAGUGAUAAGCUGGAGGAAGGUGGGGAUGACGUCAAGUCCUCAUGGCCCUUACGUGUUGGGCUACACACGUGCUACAAUGGCAUUUACAACAGGAAGCAAAACGGCGACGUUAAGCAAAUCCUAAAAAAAUGCCUCAGUUCGGAUUGUACUCUGCAACUCGAGUACAUGAAGCUGGAAUUACUAGUAAUCGCGGAUCAGCGCGCCGCGGUGAAUACGUUCCCGGGUCUUGUACACACCGCCCGUCACACCAUGGGAGUUGGUUCUACCUUAAGGCAAAGGUUAAAAACUUUGACCACGGUAUAGUCAGCGACUGGGGUGAAGUCGUAACAAGGUAGCCGUA